GCAUUGGUCAAGCUGGGUGAUUGACACUUCUAUAGAACCGUCAGAGCCAGUAGAAUCGACGGACGGCAUCAAAACCCCUCCCAAGGACACCAUUCGCUAUCUUGACAUGCGACUUCCGCCUUUGUAGUCGAAGAAGGACGGACCAGGCGGAUUAACAUCUUGAAAUGACGAGCGGCUCUUUGUGCUAAGCUAACGGGAAUCGGAUUUAUGGAUGAAAACACAACUUUUCCCGGAAAUACUUCGACGGGGUUGUGGACUGCCCUGCUCUGAGGACCAUUCAAUAUCAGACACAAGCCAUGGGAGAUAAAGCCAGAGGAAGGGAUGACCUCGCCCGCAGAGGAACAGGAGUAAUUGGCGCACACACCGAGAGGGAGAGGAGCGGCGCGGCUGCAGCCACAGGACUCGGGAGUCUCACCCGUGACCUGCACCCCGAUGCGGAAGUAGACGUCGGAGUUGCUGAGGUACCUCUCCACCAGGACGUAGUACCAUUGCUCCCAGGCGGGGACAGGCGUGACCAGCUCACAAGGGUUCCACUCCCUGCAG